rnacentral:rRNA from 1 species
UACGUAGGGUGCAAGCGUUUAAUCGGAAUUACUGGGCGUAAAGCGUGCGCAGGCGGUGAUGUAAGACAGUUGUGAAAUCCCCGGGCUCAACCUGGGACCUGCAUUUGUGACUGCAUCGCUAGAGUACGGCAGAGGGGGGAUGGAAUUCCGCGUGUAGCAGUGAAAUGCGUAGAUAUGCGGAGGAACACCGAUGGCGAAGGCAAUCCCCUGGGCCUGUACUGACGCUCAUGCACGAAAAGCGUGGGGGAGCAAACAGG